CAAGCCGCUGCAGGAGAGACUGUCAUUCGCUGACAGCGCCGAAGGGGAAUCGCCCCGGAAACUCUCAGGCAAAAGAACUGCAGCGACGUC
rnacentral:ncRNA from 2 species